rnacentral:misc_RNA from 1 species
GAUCAAACAAACCUUGAUCUCCAGUACCCAGACAAUCCAACGGUCCAAACUCCCCAUUUCCUGAUCUACUACUCUGCAGAGCUGAUAACUCUAGGUGAACCGUCUGAUCAAUCAACCCUCCCGCCAUCUCCUGCAUCUUCAUCUCCUCCCCACUCACACCCACUAUCUUCUGCUGCUGAUGUUGCCACUGCUGAUUCUGGUUCUGUUGCACAUGUUCAAGACUCUGUUGAUUCAGUAUGCUACUAAAUCCAAAGGGCAACUGCUCAUUUGUUGUCGUAAUUAAGCUUGUAAAGUUUCCAAUCUCUGAGAAGAUCCCACAGUCCGAUCCUUGCUCUAGCAACCCAGGCUCAAAGCUCGGAUUUAUGUUGGCAUGUGCAAAUACCUUAGAUUCACCAACACCAUUCAGUAUAUUAUUCGAGGCUGAGCUCGAAGAAUGCGCGGAAACUGCUUCUAAACCAAUGUUAGCCAUUGUGGUAUUCGUGGCGGUCAGACUGGAGCUUUCGCUGCUAGAAUG